UAUUCUUAGACCCCUACGACAUCAGGAGAUAAAAGCAAAUUCGACAUCAUGAGAUAAAAGCAAAUUCGAACUCAUAUUCUUAGACCCCUAUGAUAUUCUUGGACCCCUACGACAUCAGGAGAUAAAAGCAAAUUCUCGAUGCCAUUACACGACAUCUGAAGAUAGAAGCAAAUUCGACAUCCGGAGAGUGAAGCGAAUUCCCGAUGCCAUUACACAGACAUGGGGAGAUAGAAGUGAAUUCCCAACGCAUUAAUUAAGCGUCGGCAGUUUUGGGCAUAACUCCCAUGGGCAGCAUCGGGAGUUGGUCUUUAAAAACCGUCCCAGAUUUGUACUUCACAGAUCUGCGAAGAAUGGAGAAUGAUAUAGUUAUAAUUCUAUGGAGAGAGGUGCUAGGUCUAUAACCCACCUCCUCCCACCGUGAUCAGGGUUGGCACGCGGUCAAGGUUGGCGUCGUCAUUGCCGUCUUCAUCUAGGCUCCUGAAGAAGAGGGUCACUGUUGUCCCGGUACCUUGUGUAGCAAACUUGUUUGACGCAUUGAACGUGGGACCUGCAGCAGAAGGUUAAAAAUUCCUUAAAAACUUGUGACCGAUAGACUCACUGUGCACGUUUGGUAGACUGGAACAUGAAUAACUGCCCGAUUAACAAAAGCAUAUUAAAAAUAAAUAAAUUCCACGAAA